GUUUAGAAACACCAAGGCCAGGCUCACCGCCCAGUCCUCCUGGCAGCCCACCGCCAAGUCUUCCGGGCAGCCCACCACUAGAUCGUCCAGGAAGCGCACUACCACCUAGUUCUCCUGGCAGCCCACCACCACUAGAUCAUCCUGGAAGCGCACCACCACCUAGUUCUCCUGGCAGCCCACCACCACUAGAUCAUCCUGGAAGCGCACCACCACCUAGUUCUCCUGGCAGCCCACCACUACUAGAUCAUCCUGUAAGCCCACCACCACUAGAUCAUCCUGUAAGCCCACCACCACCUAGUUUUCCUGGC
rnacentral:lncRNA from 1 species